rnacentral:rRNA from 1 species
CAGCCGCCACGGUAAAACGUAGGUGGCAAGCGUUGUCCGGAAUUAUUGGGCGUAAAGGGCUCGCAGGCGGUUUCUUAAGUCUGAUGUGAAAGCCCCCGGCUCAACCGGGGAGGGUCAUUGGAAACUGGGAAACUCGAGUGCAGAAGAGGAGAGUGGAAUUCCACGUGUAGCGGUGAAAUGCGUAGAGAUGUGGAGGAACACCAGUGGCGAAGGCGACUCUCUGGUCUGUAACUGACGCUGAGGAGCGAAAGCGUGGGGAGCGAACAGGAUUAGAUACCCGCGUAGUCCCUGUCUCUUAUAC